rnacentral:rRNA from 1 species
UACGGAGGGUGCAAGCGUUAUCCGGAUUCACUGGGCUUAAAGGGUGCGUAGGCGGGCAUUUAAGUCAGUGGUGAAAUACCUGAGCUUAACUUGGGAACUGCCAUUGAUACUAUUUGUCUUGAAUGUCGUGGAGGUUAGCGGAAUAUGUCAUGUAGCGGUGAAAUGCUUAGAUAUGACUUAGAACACCAAUUGCGAAGGCAGCUUGCUAAACAAAUAUUGACGCUGAGGCACGAAAGCGUGGGGAUCAAACAGG